rnacentral:rRNA from 1 species
GUCCACGCCGUAAACGAUGAGAACUAGGUGUUGCGGGGUAUUGACCCCUGCAGUGCCGUAGCUAACGCAUUAAGUUCUCCGCCUGGGAAGUACGGUCGCAAGACUAAAACUCAAAGGAAUUGACGGGGGCCCGGCACAAGCGGUGGAGCAUGUGGUUUAAUUCGACGCAACGCGCAGAACCUUACCUGGGCUUGACAUCUACGGAACCUUUCGUGAAAGCGAGGGGGUUGCCUUUCGGGGGAGCCGUAAGACAGGUGCUGCAUGGCUGUCGU